rnacentral:rRNA from 1 species
UACGAAGGGGGCUAGCGUUGCUCGGAAUCACUGGGCGUAAAGGGUGCGUAGGCGGGUCUUUUAAGUCAGGGGUGAAAUCCUGGAGCUCAAUUCCAGAACUGCCUUUGAUACUGAGGAUCUUGAGUUCGGGAGAGGUGAGUGGAACUGCGAGUGUAGAGGUGAAAUUCGUAGAUAUUCGCAAGAACACCAGUGGCGAAGGCGGCUCACUGGCCCGAUACUGACGCUGAGGCACGAAAGCGUGGGGAGCAAACAGG